CCACACCGCUGUCCAUGUUCAGUUUUCAGGCUUUACCAAGAGCAGCACAGCCAAUCAUAAAGUCAUUAUCAAACUUUAAAUCGGUUCUCUCGUCUGCUGCCAGCUGUCACUUCAGUACAAAUCGCUGCGGCCCUCCUCCUCGUCACAUCCAGAUCCUCAGCGUCUUCAUCACCUCCCCAGAGGGGGGAUUUCUAUGCCUCUGCAGCUGCCACUUUUAUCAACAUGGGAUCUAAUCGCCAAAUUACUUUUCACAUUUCUCUAUAUGUAUCACAUGUCAAUAAAUGAUUUUUUGCUCACUCAGUCAGGUCUCUCCUGAUAGACACAGGAUAACAUUGUUUGCACUGAUGAAGAAGUAAAACUAUGCGGGAAAAUAUCCGUGCAGGGGCUGGAGCCAAGCCCAGCAGGCAUUUGGCGAGACGCAGGAACGAACAACCACUUACAUUCACACCUAAUUAACCUGCCUAUGUUUGGACGGUGGGAGGAAGCUAGAGCACACACGGAGAGAACAUGCAAACUCCACACAGAAGAGCCUGGGACGACCGGGGGUCGAGACUCAGAUCUUCUUGCUGUGAGGCGACAGUGCUAACCACUGCACCACCGUGCCGCCCAACCGUGGAGCAACUCAACAGAAAUGUUAAAAACAGAUUAGGAAGCAAGAGGAAAAACAACGAUGAAGUGUCAUGUGAAGAGGAUGUCUGAUUAAAUAUUUACUACCUGUGUGAGAUGGAGUGUAACAGCAGCCUGCAGAGAUCCAGCUGAGGCAGCUCAUGAACUCUGCGCUGUGUGUUUACACAUGAUGAUGACAACAUUUCUCAGGGUGGCAGAUGUGGUGCUUGUGUGCCCAGUAUACUGUAUAUGUUUUUGUAUUGUCGAAAUGCACCGUCUCCCUUCACAUUUUGUGGACUCAUUGCACGUUUGAUAGCGAUCUAUUCGAGCUUCUUUUUUUUUGUGAUGGAACCAGCAACCAAAGAUGAGAUUUCCCCUGUCUGGGAACAUUUUGAGCUGAUCUCACCUAAUAAAAGGUAUUUACAUAGUAAUAAUAAUAACUAGUGUUAUAUAUAAUAAAUGUGAAAACGCA